rnacentral:rRNA from 1 species
AUUGAACGCUGGCGGCAGGCCUAACACAUGCAAGUCGAGCGGAGCGGCGGACGGGUGAGUAAUGCCUAGGAAUCUGCCUGGUAGUGGGGGAUAACGUCCGGAAACGGGCGCUAAUACCGCAUACUAUCAGAUGAGCCUAGGUCGGAUUAGCUAGUUGGUGGGGUAAAGGCUUACCAAGGCGACGAUGCGUAGCUGGUCUGAGAGGAUGAUCAGUCACACUGGAACUGAGACACGGUCCAGACUCCUACGGGAGGCAGCAGUGGGGAAUAUUGGGCAAUGGGCGAAAGCCUGAUCGAGCCAUGCCGCGUGUGUGAAGAAGGUCUUCGGAUUGUAAAGCACUUUAAGUUGGGAGGCGGUACCAACAGAAUAAGCAACGGCUAACUACGUGCCAGCAGCCGCGGUAAUUC